ensembl:lncRNA
UGGCGCAGCGGGGAUUUCCAUCCGUCUGCAGCCUGUCACAGUGGAGCACGAUCUCUUCAUUUGUUCACAUGCUAAAGCUGUCAAACCGGUGGUCAUACUCUGUCGGACCUCUUUCACGAAGCCCUCAGCGCAGAUCAGACCAACAAUAUCGACACUUUGGUUCAAAAGCUUCGCGGUGUUGCCAAAGUCUGAGAUGAAAAGGGAUGAAAGGCAUGGAUAUUUUCAACGGUACUUCUGAUUCUUUGCAUGAAUUAUCCUGGGAGGCAGAACCGGCAUUGUCCCUGCCCAGACCUGAGCCUCCUCCUGACCAGCAGCUCACAGGUCCACAUGCACACCUUUAGUCUGUUUUUACUGCCUUUACCUUGUACUAAUUGGCUUGAUUUUGUCCCCAUAGAUCAUAGUCUCUCUGACAUUGAUUUUUUCUUCAAAAUCAUCAAUGAGCACAGGGACCAGCAGAUGCCCUCUCUUCCCAGACCCCCCUCUCCUCCCUCUGGGAGCCACCUCCAGUC